rnacentral:tRNA from 1 species
UAGCUUAGUCGGUAAAGAAUCUGCCUGCAAUGCAGGAGACCCGGGUUCGAUUCCUGG